rnacentral:rRNA from 1 species
AUGACGGCAGAGAGCCAGGUGUGGCUUUGUGUCGCCAACAGCCACGAGGUCAUCGGCGCCGGCCACCGUGCCAGGCUGGACCAGCUGCUGCAGCCCCCCUGCGCCGUCGCCGUCGCCGUCGCCGUGGCACAAGAAGCGCGAGUUCCCCCCGCUGUCGGAGGCUGGGUGUCGUUCUCUAGUGCAGAUUGUCUAAUUGAGUUUCUGAAAGCGUCGUCCACGUCUGCACUUCAUGGGUCCGUACACUGGGAACUCACGCCUGAGAACUUCCUGCUCACCAGAUUGGUUUCAGUUUCUCUGUCUGCAUCGAAGAAGUGGCAAGCAUGGUUAGGGCGAGCAACAAGGGUUCCUGUAGUGCAUAACCAUUUCAAGUCGCCCAAGUUCUAA